UACAGAGGGUGCAAGCGUUUGUUCGGAAUUAUUGGGCGUAAAGCGCGUGUAGGCGGCUUUGCAAGUCGGGUGUGAAAGCCCUCAGCUCAACUGAGGAAGUGCGCCCGAAACUGCAGAGCUUGAGUACCGGAGAGGAUGGCGGAAUUCCCCAAGUAGAGGUGAAAUUCGUAGAUAUGGGGAGGAACACCGGUGGCGAAGGCGGCCACCUGGACGGUCACUGACGCUGAGACGCGAAAGCGUGGGUAGCAAACAGG
rnacentral:rRNA from 1 species